CAAAUACUCCCUCCGUCCGGAAAUACUUUUCAUCAAAAUGGAUAAAAGGAAAUGUAUCUAGACGUAUUUUAGUUUUAGAUACAUCUCUUUUUAUCCAUUUUGAUGACAAGUAUUUUUGGACGAAGGGAGUAUUUA
rnacentral:pre_miRNA from 1 species